rnacentral:lncRNA from 1 species
CCAACCGAGGAACGCACAGGUACAACCAUGUGAAUGGCCUUCUGAUGAGUUCAUGAUUGAUGCAGGUUUCAAAGACGAGUUUGAUACACUUGUUCACAAUGUUGGACUUGAAGAAUUCAUCUCCGAUAAAUGUGAACAGUAUACUACUCUCACUGCCUCUUUUGUUCGUAGAUUCAAAUUUUCAGCUGGCCCUGACACAUCUGUACUGUUUGAUCUCUAUGACAAAUCAUAUACCAUGGAUUUAGAG